CAGUAGUGUAUAUCAAAAUUGUUGCGGUUAAAACGCUCGUGGUUGGAUUACAAAAGUUGGGUACCAAUCAAACACUAGUUUGGUUGGUGUCGGGCUUUUUUAUCGCAAGAACCAGCCGUGCAUUUCAUCGUGUGCGGUUGACCACUUGCGGAGCGUGCCUUGAAUAAAGCACAGUGCUCAAAGCAAGCGUAACGCUCGAAUGUUUAAGCAUGGAACGAAUAACGACAUGGUUCAGUUGUUGGUUUCUGAGCCGGGUCCUGAUUAAAAGGGACAUUUGAGGGCGUUAGUACUUGGUGGCGAGAGGUGAAAUUCUUAGACCCACCAGGGACUCACUAAUGCGAAAGCAUUCGCCAAGAAUGUUUUCAUUGA
rnacentral:rRNA from 1 species